rnacentral:rRNA from 1 species
AUUGAACGCUGGCGGCAUGCCUUACACAUGCAAGUCGAACGGCAGCACGGGGCAACCUGGUGGCGAGUGGCGAACGGGUGAGUAAUGCAUCGGAACGUACCUUUCAGUGGGGGAUAACGUAGCGAAAGUUACGCUAAUACCGCAUAUUCUGUGAGCAGGAAAGCAGGGGAUCGCAAGACCUUGCGCUGAUUGAGCGGCCGAUGUCAGAUUAGCUAGUUGGUGAGGUAAAGGCUCACCAAGGCGACGAUCUGUAGCGGGUCUGAGAGGAUGAUCCGCCACAGUGGAACUGGGACACGGUCCAGACUCCUACGGGAGGCAGCAGUGGGGAAUUUUGGACAAUGGGGGCAACCCUGAUCCAGCCAUGCCGCGUGAGUGAAGAAGGCCCUCGGGUUGUAAAGCUCUUUCGGCCGGGAAGAAAUCGCACGGGCUAAUACCCUGUGUGGAUGACGGUACCGGAAUAAGAAGCACCGGCUAACUACGUGCCAGCCGCCGCGGUAACAC